ACAGCAGCAGCCGCGGGAAUACGAAGGGGGCUAGCGUUGUUCGGAUUUACUGGGCGUAAAGCGCACGUAGGCGGACUUUUAAGUCAGGGGUGAAAUGCCAAGGCUCAACCUUGGAACUGCCUUUGAUACUGGAAGUCUUGAGUGUGGAAGAGGUUGGUGGAACUGCGAGUGUAGAGGUGAAAUUCGUAGAUAUUCGCAAGAACACCAGUGGCGAAGGCGGCCAACUGGUCCAUUACUGACGCUGAGGUGCGAAAGCGUGGGGAGCAAACAGGAUUAGAUACCCCCGUAGUCCCUGUCUCUUAUAC
rnacentral:rRNA from 1 species